rnacentral:rRNA from 1 species
UACGUAGGGGGCAAGCGUUAUCCGGAUUUACUGGGUGUAAAGGGUGCGUAGGUGGCAUGGUAAGUCAGAUGUGAAAACUUGAGGCUCAACUUCAAGAUUGCAUCUGAAACUGCUAAGCUAGAGUGCAGGAGAGGAAAGUGGAAUUCCGAGUGUAGCGGUGAAAUGCGUAGAGAUUCGGAGGAACACCAGUAGCGAAGGCGACUUUCUGGACUGUAACUGACACUGAGGCACGAAAGCGUGGGGAGCGAACAGG